AAACUACUAUAUGAAUGACCAUCUUGGCAUCUUAUCUGAAUUGAUCACAAUAUUGGUAACUAAGAAAUCUUAAAAAGUUCAGAGGUACAUACAUAGAGAGCCUAAAAAAACAACACACACCUUGAGUAGGCUUGUUAAAAUUACUCAAUAUUGUCCUUAUAAUUUUUUUUUCUCCUAGUUGAGUUUUAGACUUUAGUACUUUUUAUUCAUUUUAGUAUAAAGUCUAUGGGAAGGUAGAGAGAUGAAGAAGUAAUCCUUAAAAUUGGCAAUAGGGCAAGAGUUGCUCUGUGGCUAUGGGCAUCUAUCAUUUGUAAUUAUCAUUUAAAUUUAGUUCCUAGAGAUAGUCUCUAUCAUUUGCAUGGUGAUGCAACUAUAAACUUAAUUGAGCAAGCAAUAAAUGUCAUUAGAUCUGAGAGAUCCAAAGUUGAGAUCAAUCUUAAGUAUAUGUGGAACCCUAGGCUAGGUCGUAUAGGAGAAAAAAUGAUUAACAAACUGGAGAAAUAUGAACUUUUAGGCUCAUUAACUGCUAAGUCAUAUCUAGUUUGUACAUCAUCUUUUUGAGAAAAAAUAACCAAGCAACUCUUGUGGGAC
rnacentral:lncRNA from 1 species